CACUGGUCUAAAUAAGGGGUCCUGCGCCGAAAAUGUAACGGGGCUCAAGCCACGAGCCGAAGCUUCGGGUGUGUUCGUCUUCGGAUUGAACACGCGGUAGCGGAGCGUUCCCUAGGCCUGCGAAGGAAGACCCGUGAGGGCUUCUGGAGGUAUGGGAAGUGCGAAUGCUGACAUGAGUAACGAUAAUGCGGGUGAAAAACCCGCACGCCGAAAGCCCAAGGUUUCCUUGCGCAACGUUAAUCGGCGCAGGGUGAGUCGGCCCCUAAGGCGAGGACGAAAGUCGUAGUCGAUGGGAAGCAGGUUAAUAUUCCUGCACCUCGCGUAAGUGCGAUGGAGGGACGGAGAAGGUUAGGUGUACCAGGCGUUGGUUGUCCUGGGGAAAGGCGGUAGGUUUGGAUCUUUGGCAAAUCCGGGAUCCUCUAAGACCGAGCACCGAGACGAGCCUUUAUGGCGAAGUCACUGAUACCACGCUUCCAGGAAAAGCUCCUAAGCUUCAGCUUACGCAGACCGUACCGUAAACCGACACAGGUGGGUAGGAUGAGAAUUCUCAGGCGCUUGAGAGAACUCGGGUGAAGGAACUAGGCAACAUGGCACCGUAACUUCGGGAGAAGGUGCACCCUUUUUGGUGGCUCGUGCGAGCUAUAGCUGAAGAGGGUCGCAGUAACCAGGCCGCUGCGACUGUUUAUCAAAAACACAGCACUCUGCAAACACGAAAGUGGACGUAUAGGGUGUGACGCCUGCCCGGUGCUGGAAGGUUAAUUGAUGGGGUCAGCCGCAAGGCGAAGCUCUUGAUCGAAGCCCCAGUAAACGGCGGCCGUAACUAUAACGGUCCUAAGGUAGCGAAAUUCCUUGUCGGGUAAGUUCCGACCUGCACGAAUGGCGUAACGACAGCGGCGCUGUCUCCACCCGAGACUCAGUGAAAUUGAAAUCGCUGUGAAGAUGCAGCGUUCCCGUGGCAAGACGGAAAGACCCCGUGAACCUUUACUAUAGCUUUACACUGAACGUUGAGUUCGUCUGUGUAGGAUAGGUGGGAGGCUAUGAAACCAUGGCGCUAGCUGUGGCGGAGCCAUCCUUGAAAUACCACCCUGUCGUGCUUGACGUUCUAACCUGGGCCCAUUAUCUGGGUCGGGGACCGUGUAUGGUGGGUAGUUUGACUGGGGCGGUCUCCUCCUAAAGAGUAACGGAGGAGCUCGAAGGUACGCUCAGCGCGGUCGGACAUCGCGCACUGUGUGCAAAGGCAUAAGCGUGCUUGACUGCAAGAUCGACGGAUCAAGCAGGUAGGAAACUAGGACUUAGUGAUCCGGUGGUUCUGUAUGGAAGGGCCAUCGCUCAACGGAUAAAAGGUACUCCGGGG
rnacentral:rRNA from 1 species